GACAGAGGAUGCAAGCGUUAUCCGGAAUGAUUGGGCGUAAAGCGUCUGUAGGUGGCUUUUUAAGUCCGCCGUCAAAUCCCAGGGCUCAACCCUGGACAGGCGGUGGAAACUACCAAGCUGGAGUACGGUAGGGGCAGAGGGAAUUUCCGGUGGAGCGGUGAAAUGCGUAGAUAUCAGGAGGAACACCUGUGGCGAAAGCGGCUCACUGGACCACAACUGACGCUGAUGCACGAAAGCUAGGGGAGCAAACAGG
rnacentral:rRNA from 1 species